rnacentral:rRNA from 1 species
AGUGAACGCUGGCGGUAGGCCUAACACAUGCAAGUCGAACGGCAGCACAGAGGAGCUUGCUCCUUGGGUGGCGAGUGGCGGACGGGUGAGGAAUACAUCGGAAUCUACUCUGUCGUGGGGGAUAACGUAGGGAAACCUACGCUAAUACCGCAUACGACCUACGGGUGAAAGCAGGGGACCUUCGGGCCUUGCGCGAUUGAAUGAGCCGAUGUCGGAUUAGCUAGUUGGCGGGGUAAAGGCCCACCAAGGCGACGAUCCGUAGCUGGUCUGAGAGGAUGAUCAGCCACACUGGAACUGAGACACGGUCCAGACUCCUACGGGAGGCAGCAGUGGGGAAUAUUGGACAAUGGGCGCAAGCCUGAUCCAGCCAUACCGCGUGGGUGAAGAAGGCCUUCGGGUUGUAAAGCCCUUUUGUUGGGAAAGAAAUCCAGCUGGCUAAUACCCGGUUGAGAUGACGGUACCCAAAGAAUAAGCACCGGCUAACUUCGUGCCAGCAGCCGCAGUAA